rnacentral:rRNA from 1 species
AGUGAACGCUGGCGGUAGGCCUAACACAUGCAAGUCGAACGGCAGCACAGUAAGAGCUUGCUCUUACGGGUGGCGAGUGGCGGGCGGGUGAGGAAUACAUCGGAAUCUACUUUUUCGUGGGGGAUAACGUAGGGAAACUUACGCUAAUACCGCAUACGACCUACGGGUGAAAGCAGGGGAUCUUCGGACCUUGCGCGAAUGAAUGAGCCGAUGUCGGAUUAGCUAGUUGGCGGGGUAAAGGCCCACCAAGGCGACGAUCCGUAGCUGGUCUGAGAGGAUGAUCAGCCACACUGGAACUGAGACACGGUCCAGACUCCUACGGGAGGCAGCAGUGGGGAAUAUUGGACAAUGGGCGCAAGCCUGAUCCAGCCAUACCGCGUGGGUGAAGAAGGCCUUCGGGUUGUAAAGCCCUUUUGUUGGGAAAGAAAAGCAGCAGGUUAAUACCCCGCUGUUCUGACGGUACCCAAAGAAGAAGCACCGGCUAACUUCGUG